GUAGUCAUAUGCUUGUCUCAAAGAUUAAGCCAUGCAUGUCUAAGUACUGACUGCCAAUGAAAUGGUGAAACCGCGAACGGCUCAUUAAAUCAGUUAUGGUUCCUUGGAACAUGAGACCACUGGAUAACUGUGGCAAUUCUAGAGCUAAUACAUGCGAUUUGCGCGCAGAGCUUCACGGCUCUCCGCGUGCUCUUAUUAGACAACCGAGCCCGUCGUCGCGCCCUCGGGCCGGCGGCGGGAUGAGGUGGUGACUCUGGAUAAUGCUGCUGAUCGUUCAGGCCUUAGAGCAGGCGAACUUCUUUCAAGUGACUGCUCUAUCAACUGUCGAUGGUAGGUUACACGCCUACCAUGGUUGUAACGGGUAACGGAGAAUCAGGGUUCGAUUCCGGAGAGGGAGCCUGAGAAACGGCUACCACAUCCAAGGAAGGCAGCAGGCGCGCAAAUUACCCAAUCCCAGCAUGGGGGAGGUAGUGACGAAAAAUAACGAUGCGGGGCACAUAAGUGUCUCCGUGAUUGGAAUGAGUACACCCUAAAUCCUUUAACGAGGAUCUAUCGGAAGGCAAGUCUGGUGCCAGCAGCCGGCGGUAAGGCCAGGNNCNGAUUGGCUUAUACUAAUGCUGUUGCGGUUAAAAAGCUCGUAGUUGAAACCCAGCGGGCGCGUGCAGUGGGGCGCACAUGCUGUGCCCGUGUGCGCGCGUCGCGCAUGGAAGGCAGCUGUCCGUCGUCCUCUUAACCGAGCGGCUUCGGGUGGCUGUCAUUGAUCACUUUGAUUAAAUUAGAGUGCUCAAAGCAGGCCUCGCGCCUCAAUGCUGUUGCAUGGAAUGAUGGAAUAUGUUGCUGUUCUGUUUGUCUGGUUUUUGGAUAUGGCAAGAUGAUUAAUAGGAACAACCCGGAGGUGAAGGUACUGCGGCGAUAGAGGUGAAAUUCUUGGACCGUCGCAAGACCAACUACAGCGAAAGCAUUCGCCGAGAGUGUUUUCAUUGAUCAAGAACGAAAGUUAGAGGAUCGAAAGCGAUCAGAUACCGCUCUAGUUCUAACCAUAAACGAUGCCGACCUGCAAUCCGCCUCGGUUCUAUUAAUGACUGGGCGGGCAGCUCCGGGAAACCAGAGUCUGGUUCCGGGGGGAGUAUGGUCGCAAGUCGUAAACUUAAAGGAAUUGACGGAAGGGCACCACAACGGAGUGGGCCUGCGGCUUAAUUUGACUCAACACGGGAAAACUUUCCCAGGCCGGACACUGGAAGGAUUGACAGAUUGAGAGCUCUUUCUUGAUUCUGUGGAUUGUGGUGCAUGGCCGUUCUUAGUUGGUGGAGCGAUCUGUCUGGUUAAUUCCGAUAACGAACGAGACCCUAGCCUAUUAAAUAGACUCGCACGUAUUCUGCCAAGCGAGUUCUUCUUAGAGGGACAAGGUGCUUUCAGCACCGUGAAACAGAGCAAUAACAGGUCUGUAAUGCCCUACGAUACCUGGGGCCGCACGCGCGCCACACUGAGGGGACAAACGAGUCGGCUGCCUUGCUCUUGCGAGCUGGGUGACCUCUUGAAGUUCCCUCAUGGUGGGGAUANGNGCUNGCAAUUGUUCCCCNUGAACCANNAAUUCCUAGUAAANGCUGGUCAUCAGCCANNGNNNACUAUGUNCCUG
rnacentral:rRNA from 1 species